UUAUUGGAGAGUUUGAUCCUGGCUCAGGACGAACGCUGGCGGCGUGCCUAAUACAUGCAAGUCGAGCGGACUUGAGGGAGCUUGCUCCCGAUGGUCAGCGGCGGACGGGUGAGUAACACGUGGGCAACCUGCCUGUAAGACUGGGAUAACUCCGGGAAACCGGGGCUAAUACCGGAUAAUUCAUUCCCUCACAUGAGGGAAUGCUGAAAGACGGCUCCGGCUGUCACUUACAGAUGGGCCCGCGGCGCAUUAGCUAGUUGGUGAGGUAACGGCUCACCAAGGCCACGAUGCGUAGCCGACCUGAGAGGGUGAUCGGCCACACUGGGACUGAGACACGGCCCAGACUCCUACGGGAGGCAGCAGUAGGGAAUCUUCCGCAAUGGACGAAAGUCUGACGGAGCAACGCCGCGUGAGCGAAGAAGGCCUUCGGGUCGUAAAGCUCUGUUGUCAGGGAAGAACAAGUACCGGAGUAACUGC
rnacentral:ncRNA from 1 species